CCUACGGGGGGCAGCAGUAAGGGAUAUUGGUCAAUGGGGGCAACCCUGAACCAGCAACGCCGCGUGAGGGAAGACGGUUUUCGGAUUGUAAACCUCUGUCCUCUGUGAAGAUGAUGACGGUAGCAGAGGAGGCAGCUCCGGCUAACUACGUGCCAGCAGCCGCGGUAAAACGUAGGGAGCGAGCGUUGUCCGGAUUGACUGGGUGUUAAGGGUGCGUAGGCGGCUUGGCAAGUCAGUAGUGAAUUCCAUGGGAUUAACCGAUGACCUGUGAUGGAAACUGUCGAGUUGGAGUGAAGGAGAGGUAGGCGGAAUUCCCGGGGUAGCGGUGAAAUGCGUAGAGAUCGGGAGGAACACCAGUGGCGAAGGCGGCCGACGGGGCGUUAACUGACGCUGAGGCACGAAAGCGUGGGUAGCAAACAGGAUUAGAUACCCUAGUAGUC
rnacentral:rRNA from 1 species